rnacentral:rRNA from 1 species
GACGAACGCUGGCGGCGUGCCUAAUACAUGCAAGUAGGACGCAGUUGCGAACGGGUUAGUAACGCGUAUGUAACUACCUAUUAGAGGGGGCUAACUAUUGGAAACGAUAGCUAAUACCGCAUACUAGUAGAUGGACCUGCGUUGUAUUAGCUAGUAGGUAGGGUAAUGGCCUACCUAGGCAACGAUACAUAGCCGACCUGAGAGGGUGAUCAGCCACACUGGGACCGAGACACGGCCCAGACUCCUACGGGAGGCAGCAGUAGGGAAGCUUAGGCAAUGGACGAAAGUCUGACCGAGCAACGCCGCGUGAGUGAAGAAGGGUUUCGGAUCGUAAAACUCUGUGGUUAGGGAGGCGGUAUCUAACCAGAAAGCAACGGCUAACUACGUGCCAGCAGCCGCGGUAAUUC